rnacentral:rRNA from 1 species
AGCGAUUAGAGAACCCGUGAAUGAUCGCCCGGCCGUCCCGAUCGUUGCCCUUAUAUCCCUCUCGGGGUGUGGUGGCCACGGUGGAGGAUGGAUGAAACACAAAACGGCGCAGCAUCGCGCCAAGGGAAGAUAGAAAGGCACGAGCCCCGCGUCGCGCUCGUUGUAGUGGAGUGCUGUUGCACGCCAUGAGGAUUCACAUGACUCUCGGCAAUGGAUAUCUCGGCUCUCGCAUCGAUGAAGAGCGCAGCGAAAUGCGAUACGUGGUGCGAAUUGCAGAAUCCCGCGAACCAUCGAGUCUUUGAACGCAAGUUGCGCCCGAGGCCAGCCGGCCAAGGGCACGUCCGCCUGGGCGUCAAGUGUUGCGUCGCUCCCUGCCAGCUCCGUCCUGCUAAUGGGCGUGUCGGCCAAGGCUUCGGAUGUGCAGAGUGGCUCGUCGUGCAUGUCAGUGCGGCGUGCUAAAGAGCAGGUUUCGUCUCGCUGGCGGCGAACAACAAGGGUUGGGUGAAAGAUGUUAGCGCAGUCAGUGUUGUCUCGCGUCGGCCCGAGAGACGGAGUGUGCCUUUUGAUGUGAACCCAAAACACGCACCGUUCGGCAUGCGGUGGCUUGGAAUGCGACCCCAGGACGGGCGAGGCCACCCGCUGAAUUUAAGCAUAUCAAUAAGCGGAGGA